AGCGAACGCUGGCGGCAGGCUUAACACAUGCAAGUCGAGCGGGCGUAGCAAUACGUCAGCGGCAGACGGGUGAGUAACGCGUGGGAACAUACCUUUUGGUUCGGAACAACACAGGGAAACUUGUGCUAAUACCGGAUAAGCCCUUACGGGGAAAGAUUUAUCGCCGAAAGAUUGGCCCGCGUCUGAUUAGCUAGUUGGUGAGGUAACGGCUCACCAAGGCGACGAUCAGUAGCUGGUCGAGAGGAUGAUCAGCCACAUUGGGACUGAGACACGGCCCAAACUCCUACGGGAGGCAGCAGUGGGGAAUAUUGGACAAUGGGCGCAAGCCUGAUCCAGCCAUGCCGCGUGAGUGAUGAAGGCCCUAGGGUUGUAAAGCUCUUUUGUGCGGGAAGAUAAUGACGGUACCGCAAGAAUAAGCCCCGGCUAACUUCGUGCCAGCAGCCGCGGUAAU
rnacentral:rRNA from 1 species